GACGAACGCUGGCGGCGUGCUUAACACAUGCAAGUCGAACGGUGAAAGGGAGCUUGCUCCCUGGAUCAGUGGCGAACGGGUGAGUAACACGUGGGCAACCUGCCCCAGACUUCGGGAUAACGCUUCGAAAGAGGUGCUAAUACCGGAUACGAACUCCUUGGGCAUCCUUGGAGUUGGAAAGUUUUUCGGUCUGGGAUGGGCCCGCGGCCUAUCAGCUUGUUGGUGAGGUAACGGCUCACCAAGGCGACGACGGGUAGCCGGCCUGAGAGGGCGACCGGCCACACUGGGACUGAGACACGGCCCAGACUCCUACGGGAGGCAGCAGUGGGGAAUAUUGCGCAAUGGGCGAAAGCCUGACGCAGCAACGCCGCGUGAGGGAUGACGGCCUUCGGGUUGUAAACCUCUUUCAGCAGGGAAGAAGCGAAAGUGACGGUACCUGCAGAAGAAGCACCGGCCAACUACGUGCCAGCAGCCGCCGCCG
rnacentral:rRNA from 1 species